AGGAUGAACGCUGGCGGCGUGCUUAACACAUGCAAGUCGAACGAUGAAGCCGGGAGCUUGCUCCUGGUGGAUUAGUGGCGAACGGGUGAGUAACACGUGAGUAACCUGCCCCAGACUCUGGGAUAAGCACUGGAAACGGUGUCUAAUACCGGAUACGAGCUUCAGCCGCAUGGCUAGGAGCUGGAAAGAAUUUCGGUCUGGGGAUGGACUCGCGGCCUAUCAGGUAGUUGGUGAGGUAACGGCUCACCAAGCCGACGACGGGUAGCCGGCCUGAGAGGGUGACCGGCCACACUGGGACUGAGACACGGCCCAGACUCCUACGGGAGGCAGCAGUGGGGAAUAUUGCACAAUGGGCGGAAGCCUGAUGCAGCAACGCCGCGUGCGGGAUGACGGCCGUUCGGUGUAAACCGCUUCGCCUGUGACGAAGCGUGAGUAGACGGUAAUGGUAAAGAAGACGACGCUAACGUCGUGCCAGCAGCGACGUA
rnacentral:rRNA from 1 species